rnacentral:rRNA from 1 species
UACAGAGGUGGCAAGCGUUGUUCGGAAUUACUGGGCGUAAAGGGCGCGUAGGCGGCCUUCUAAGUCAGACGUGAAAUCCCCAGGCUUAACUUGGGAACUGCGUCUGAUACUGGGAGGCUUGAGUGCGGGAGAGGGAUGUGGAAUUCCAGGUGUAGUGGUGAAAUGCGUAGAUAUCUGGAGGAACACCGGUGGCGAAGGCGGCAUCCUGGACCGACACUGACGCUGAGGCGCGAAAGCUAGGGGAGCAAACGGG